rnacentral:lncRNA from 1 species
AUAUAUAUAUAUAUACAGCAUAAAUCAGGAACGACACUUACCGUUCCUUGAGUCAGUGCGGUACCUACCUCCUCCACCUUCCGAUUUCGUAUCCACGGCUGUAUCCUCCUCCAGCCACCGUUCCAACACCGGUAAGUGUUCCAACAUCGAGCGAACUGCAAUCUCCGCAUCCUCACCGGUCACCGAACAGUUCUGUCACGGAACCCAUCGCGGUUCCGCGAACUGCAAUCUCCGCGAAACCCAUCGCGGUUCCGCGAACUGCAAUCUCCACGGAAGUCAUCGCGGUUCUACGAUGGGUACCGGAACUGCAGCUCGCAAUCACGAUGGUUGCCGGAACUGCAAUCGCGAGCCGCGAUCGUAGAAUCGAUGGGUACCGGAACUGCAAUCUCCACGAACUGCAAUCGCGAGCUGCAAUCGUAGAAUCGAUGGGUACCGGAACUGCAAUCUCCACGGAAGCCAUCGCGGUUCUACGAUGGGUACCGGAACUGCAGCUCGCGAUCACGAUGGUUGCCGGAACUGCAAUCGCAGUUCCAUCACUGCAAUCGAUGUCGGACCUGCAGGAUGUAGUUCCGGCAGAUUUGGUGUCGCACGGGGGAACGUU